GUGCUUACUUUGGCAGCACAUAUACUAAAAUUGAAAUGAUACAGAGAAGAUUAGCAUGGCCCCUGCACAAGAAUGACAUGCAAAUUUGUGAAGUAUUUUAUAUUUCA
ensembl:snRNA U6 U6 spliceosomal RNA